rnacentral:rRNA from 1 species
GAGUUUGAUCGUGGCUCAGAUUGAACGCUGGCGGCAUGCCUUACACAUGCAAGUCGAACGGCAGCAUGAUCUAGCUUGCUAGAUUGAUGGCGAGUGGCGAACGGGUGAGUAAUACAUCGGAACGUGCCCUGUAGUGGGGAUAACUAGUCGAAAGAUUAGCUAAUACCGCAUACGACCUGAGGGUGAAAGUGGGGGACCGCAAGGCCUCAUGCUAUAGGAGCGGCCGAUGUCUGAUUAGCUAGUUGGUGGGGUAAAGGCCCACCAAGGCGACGAUCAGUAGCUGGUCUGAGAGGACGAUCAGCCACACUGGGACUGAGACACGGCCCAGACUCCUACGGGAGGCAGCAGUGGGGAAUUUUGGACAAUGGGCGAAAGCCUGAUCCAGCAAUGCCGCGUGUGCGAAGAAGGCC